UACGGAGGGUGCGAGCGUUGUCCGGAAUCACUGGGCGUAAAGGGCGCGUAGGCGGCCUGCUAAGUCGAACGUGAAAUCCCCGGGCUCAACCCGGGAACUGCGUCCGAUACUGGCAGGCUUGAAUCCGGGAGAGGGAUGUGGAAUUCCAGGUGUAGCGGUGAAAUGCGUAGAUAUCUGGAGGAACACCGGUGGCGAAGGCGGCAUCCUGGACCGGUAUUGACGCUGAUGCGCGAAAGCCAGGGGAGCAAACGGG
rnacentral:rRNA from 1 species